UAUUGUGGAUGAUGAGAUUUGAAUAAAUAUCACAGUUAUCCCUGUCUGAGACAAUUGUGCUGAAAAUUUGUGAUCUGACAUUUAA
rnacentral:snoRNA from 1 species